UGACGGUAUCUAACCAGAAAGCCACGGCUAACUACGUGCCAGCAGCCGCGGUAAUACGUAGGUGGCAAGCGUUGUCCGGAUUUAUUGGGCGUAAAGCGAGCGCAGGCGGUUUCUUAAGUCUGAUGUGAAAGCCCCCGGCUCAACCGGGGAGGGUCAUUGGAAACUGGGAGACUUGAGUGCAGAAGAGGAGAGUGGAAUUCCAUGUGUAGCGGUGAAAUGCGUAGAUAUAUGGAGGAACACCAGUGGCGAAGGCGGCUCUCUGGUCUGUAACUGACGCUGAGGCUCGAAAGCUUGGGGAGCAAACAGGAUUAGAUACCCUGGUAGUCCACGCCGUAAACGAUGAGUGUUAAGUGUUGGAGGGUUUCCGCCCUUCAGUGCUGCAGCUAACGCAUUAACCAUUCCGCCUGGGGAGUACGACCGCAAGGUUGAAAUUCAAAGGAAUUGACGGGGGCCCGCACAAGCGGUGGAGCAUGUGGUUUAAUUGGAAGCAACGGGAAGACCCUUACCAGGUCUUGACAUCCUUUGACCACUCUAGAGAUAGAGCUUCCCCUUCGGGGGCAAAGUGCCAGGUGGUGCAUGGUGGUCGUCAGUUCGUGUCGUGAGAUGUUGGGUUAAGUCCCGCAACGAGCGCAACCCUUAUUGUUAGUUGCCAUCAUUCAGUUGGGCAUUUUAGCAAGACUGCCGGUGCCAAACCGGAGGAAGGUGGGGAGGACGUCAAAUCAUCAUGCCCCUUAUGCCCUGGGUUACACACGUGUUCCAAUGGGAAGUACAACGAGUUGGGAAGUCGGGAGGUUAAGUUAAUUUCUUAAAGUUUUUUUCAGUUCGGAUUCCAGGCUGCAAUUCGCCUGCAGGAAGCCGGAAUCGUUAGUAAUCGCGGAUCACCACGCCGCGGGGAAUACGUUCCCGGCCCUUGUCCACACCGCCCGUCACACCACGAGAGUUUGUACCACCGGAAGUCGGUGAGGUAACCUUUUGGAGCCAGCCGCCUAAG
rnacentral:rRNA from 1 species